UUUCCGUAGGUGAACCUGCGGAAGGAUCAUUAUCAAAACAGCGGACUUCGGUCCUUGCUGCACCCUUGUCUUUUGCGUACCGUAUGUUUCCUCGGCGGGCUUGCUCGCCGGUUGGACAAAACUAUAACCUUUUUUAAAUCUUCAAUCAGCGUCUGAAUUAUACAUAAUAAUUACAACUUUCAACAACGGAUCUCUUGGUUCUGGCAUCGAUGAAGAACGCAGC
rnacentral:misc_RNA from 1 species